rnacentral:miRNA from 13 species
AUAAAGCUGGCUAACCGAAAGG